CCACCGAUGCCCAGGUGUCGGGACGCGGCCCCGCCAGGUCCCGGGCCCAGACCUUGACGCCGAGUGGCAGGGGCUUCGGCGCAGGGCGCUGAGGGGGGACAGCCGCGGCCACCGCGACCCCGGCCUUCUGGACCCGAGCUCGGCUUCAGGGACAAGCAGCCCCAGCAAGAGCAGCCAGAGCACCAGGAGCAGCCGCGAUGGGGAAGGAGUAGCAGCGAGGCAGGGGACUGGCCACUGAGGAAGACACAUCCACUACUUACACCAGCCUUAAGCACGUGGCCUCAGGGACCGAAUUUUCUCUUCACCUCAAUUUUUAUAUUAAAGUGAAGCAGAGGCUCUUCCACGCUGAACCCAGAUGUUCUACAGACAUCACCACAAUGCCACACAGGCGUGAGAAUGGACCAGACUACUGUGCCAUCGUCCUAGACCCGGUUCUCAGCAGCUUUUUGGAUGGCAGUCCUGGCUGAAACCUGCCUCCAUCCUGCUUUCCUGGGGUUUCUUUCCUGAAGACAGAGAAAGGCUCCCUGGUUACAA